CGAGUUAUUGAUAUAUUUAAGGUUUUUAUUGUUGUUGUUGCAUUUAAGGUUUGAGGAUAUAUAAGUACAUUUGAGUUCAAGUAGGGUAUUUGAUGUGAUCUUAAAACUAAUAUUUUGGGUUUGUUGAGAUAUGUUAGGUUUAAUGUUGUUAUAAAGAACCUAAACCAUAAAGGUUUAAUGUGUUGUUGUUUUGAGAUUAAGAUUGAGAUUGAUGAUGUUGUUGUUGUUGUUGUUGUCGUUGUUGUUGUUG
rnacentral:lncRNA from 1 species